CCACACUCUCACACAAAAGCAAAGGGCUCCACCCUCCACCCAUCUCCUCUAUAUACCAAAGCCUCGCUCCCUUAACUCUCUACGUUUCCUCCCUCGCCUGUUCUCUUUUCAUUUCCGCACCACCGCCACUAUCACUAUCAUCUUCUACCGACCUCUGCCAUGUCCGCGAAAGACUGCGGCAACCACGGCCACAAGCGCCGGAAAAUCUUCCGCCGGAUCUUCGCCGGCAUCCUCAUCUUCCUCUUCCUUGUUCUCGUCACCAUCCUCAUAAUCUGGGCCAUCCUCCGCCCUAGCAAGCCUAAGUUCGUUCUCCAAGACGUCACUGUUUACGCCUUCAACGCCUCCAUACCUAACUACCUCACCUCCAACUUCCAAGUCACCUUCUCCUCUCGCAACCCAAAUGACAAAAUUGGUAUCUACUACGACAAGCUCGACGUUUACGCCAACUACCGGAACCAGCAGAUCACUCUCCGUUCAUCAAUCCCACCCACCUACCAAGGCCACAAGGAAAUCAACGUCUGGUCACCUAACAUCUAUGGCACGGCAAUCCCCGUCGCGCCGUACAACGCUUUAGCUCUGAAUCAGGAUGAGUCCACCGGAGCAGUGUUGCUGAUGAUCAAGAUGAAUGGACGGGUGAGAUUCAAAGUUGGAACGUUCAUCUCUGGGAAGUACCAUUUGUACGUCAGAUGUCCUGCUUAUAUACAGUUUGGGAGUAAGACUGCCGGGAUUAUUGUCGGUGAAAAUUCGGUGAAGUACUCGCUGCUUGUAAGCUGCAGUGUAAGUCUGUGAAGAUAGAGAGAGAGAGAGGAAAAUGAUGAAGAAAGAAGAUAACUUGACUUGUAACGCCGUUAAGUUUUUUUAUUUCCUUAAAAUUUAUUUAAAUACCUAUAUUUUUCCCUUUUCGGUGGACGCGUUAUGAAACUGAUGCCUGUCUGUUUUAGAUAUAUAUUAUUAAAGGCUUUGAAUUGUACAUUUCUAUUGAAGUGAAUAAAGGGAAGAAGAAAGCAAAUGAGACGGACGCAGCUAAAAUUACAAUUAAUCUG
rnacentral:misc_RNA from 1 species